CAGGAACGGUGGCAAGCCAGGCGUGAGCAGUUGAGAGCAGUCAUUUCGUGUCGCAGGAUUACCCUGUUAUACAGUCAAGCGUAUGGUAUGCAAAUCCCGUAACGCCCGCCAAUGAAGCUUGUGCCAAUUGCGACGUUGGCUUCUUAGCCCCACCUGCAGCAGCGUCUUAUAGAGGCUGAUGAGCUCCAGGUAGGAUUUGGGCGUGGUGUAGUUGUAGCGGCGGAACGCCUCCUUGAAGCGCUCCGAGGCCUCCGAAACGCACUGAUGCGCGUAGGCCAUAUGAUAGGCGAUGUUCUCACGCACGCCCUCCUCCAGGUUGGGUACGUCCACCAGGAAGCGCUGCGCCACCGACACCAGUGCCUCGCCGGGCCAGCCAUGGAACCAGUCAAACAUGGUGCAGUUGACCAGCGCGGG
rnacentral:lncRNA from 1 species